GACGAACGCUGGCGGCGUGCUUAACACAUGCAAGUCGAACGCUGAAGCUCAGCUUUUGUUGGGUGGAUGAGUGGCGAACGGGUGAGUAACACGUGAGUAACCUGCCUCCUUCUUUGGGAUAACGCCCGGAAACGGGUGCUAAUACUGGAUAUUCACUGGUCUUCGCAUGGGGGUUGGUGGAAAGGGUUUUUCUGGUGGGGGAUGGGCUCGCGGCCUAUCAGCUUGUUGGUGGGGUGAUGGCCUACCAAGGCUUUGACGGGUAGCCGGCCUGAGAGGGUGACCGGUCGCAUUGGGACUGAGAUACGGCCCAGACUACUACGGGAGGCAGCAGUGGGGAAUAUUGCACAAUGGGCGCAAGCAUGAUGCAGCGACGCCGCGUGAGGGAUGGAGGCCUUCGGGUUGUGAACCUCUUUCGCUCAUGGUCAAGCCGCAACAAUGGUUGUGGUGAGGGUAGUGGGUAAAGAAGCGCCGGCUAACUACGUG
rnacentral:rRNA from 1 species